ACGGGAGGCAGCAGUAAGGAAUAUUGGUCAAUGGACGCAAGUCUGAACCAGCCAUGCCGCGUGGAGGAUGAAGGUCCUCUGGAUUGUAAACUUCUUUUAUCUGGGAAGAAAAAAGGGAAUUCUUUCCCGUCUGACGGUACCAGAUGAAUAAGCACCGGCUAACUCCGUGCCAGCAGCCGCGGUAAUACGGAGGGUGCAAGCGUUAUCCGGAUUCACUGGGUUUAAAGGGUGCGUAGGUGGGUAAGUAAGUCAGUGGUGAAAUCUCCGGGCUUAACCCGGAAACUGCCAUUGAUACUAUUUGUCUUGAAUACUGUGGAGGUCAGCGGAAUAUGUCAUGUAGCGGUGAAAUGCUUAGAUAUGACAUAGAACACCAAUUGCGAAGGCAGCUGGCUACACAAAUAUUGACACUGAGGCACGAAAGCGUGGGGAUCAAACAGGAUUAGAUACCCUGGUA
rnacentral:rRNA from 1 species